GGAGCGUAAGCAUGUUGAGCUACGUGGCGGGGAGCGGAGGCCGUGGGCUGCGGAACCCGGCGUGUCCUCCGGCUCUUCCAGGUGCGAAUCCCGCGGUCUACCUACCCCUUGGGUGCGGAGCGGGGCUCCUUGUUGGCGGCGCCGGUCCCUAGCCAGGUGCAACAAAACCUGUCUCUUUUGAGGGUGCUUGAGCAAAUGUUUUUGAAACUUGUCCUGUCCUGGAAAGUGAUUGGAACAAGCUGCCAGAACUACGGUUACCAAUAACAAGCAUGUAGGUAGCUGCAGUGAACGUCCAACUUCGGGAGCUGUGAUGUUUAAUCCUCGUUGUUUUGGGUUAGACUUCUGUCACUAUGAAAAACUGCCUUACAUAACGACUUCCGGAGAAGGUUCCUCAGACUGUGGUAGUAAAGGUUUAGUCCAUCACAGUGGGGAGCAGAGCUGCUCACAUCACCACAGAGAAAACCCACAGAAUUAUUCACAGCGAUGGAGGAGGCCUAUCUCUCUCGGCAUGCUAUGCUGGUCCACUAUUCAAAAUUAAUCAGUGUGGAGCUGGACAGUAGGAAAAACUUCAGUACAGACAGGAUGACGUAUGCCACGGGACACAAGGUUCAUGCUAAAAUUCAAAAGUCUAGGGAAAGUAAGUUAUUCAGAUAUUUAAUGAUGACAUCAUUAAUGUGAACGACAUGUUUAAAUUUAACUUGGCCAGUGUCUACCAAGCACUACAUAUACCUGGUGUUUUAUUUGAAGAGCUUACAGCAUAGACAGAGUUAGAGAAACAAUUUACAAUGGAAUAAUUCUAAAAUAUCUUCUUGAGAACACCACAGAGGGAAUUAUUAUUUCCUUUUAGAAAGGAAUCAGAGAAAGCCGUGGGAAGGCAACGUUUAAAUGGGAUCACUGUCUUUGUUGUUGCUGUGUUGGAGACAGGGUUUGCUUGUAUAGUCCUGGGUGUCCUGGGACUCACAAUGCAGACUUGCUGACACUGAGUUCUGUGCGCCUCUACCCCCUGAGUGCUGGGAUCAAAGGCGUGCACUGCCACUGCCUACUGGAUCAAAGUCCGCUUAUGGAUUACCUUUUCUCAUGUAUUUCAGAUUUGUUUAAUAGGUUUGUCAAUGUCCUAUCUUGACUAUUCCUGCUGUUUCUGGAUCAUGACAACUCUUGCUACACUUUCCUUUUUGCUUUUAAUAUUGUUGUUAACUGCUUCAACUUCUUUAAUUCUCAAAUUCAAAUUAUAAUAAAGAACUAUUUCUUUAGUAUUGUGGUAAA
rnacentral:lncRNA from 1 species